rnacentral:rRNA from 1 species
UACGGGGGGGGCAAGCGUUGUUCGGAAUUACUGGGCGUAAAGGGCUCGUAGGCGGCCAACUAAGUCAGACGUGAAAUCCCCCGGCUUAACCAGGGAACUGCGUCUGAUACUGGAUGGCUUGAGUUUGGGAGAGGGAUGCGGAAUUCCAGGUGUAGCGGUGAAAUGCGUAGAUAUCAGGAAGAACACCCGUGGCGAAGGCGGUGCUCUGGGACGGUACUGACGCUGAGACGCGAAAGCGUGGGGAGCGAACAGG